AGUGAACGCUGGCGGCAGGCCUAACACAUGCAAGUCGAACGGCAGCACAGUAAGAGCUUGCUCUUAUGGGUGGCGAGUGGCGGACGGGUGAGGAAUACAUCGGAAUCUACUCUUUCGUGGGGGAUAACGUAGGGAAACUUACGCUAAUACCGCAUACGACCUACGGGUGAAAGCGGAGGACCUUCGGGCUUCGCGCGAUUGAAUGAGCCGAUGUCGGAUUAGCUAGUUGGCGGGGUAAAGGCCCACCAAGGCGACGAUCCGUAGCUGGUCUGAGAGGAUGAUCAGCCACACUGGAACUGAGACACGGUCCAGACUCCUACGGGAGGCAGCAGUGGGGAAGAUUGGACAAUGGGCGCAAGCCUGAUCCAGCCAUGCCGCGUGGGUGAGGAAGGCCUUCGGGUUGUAAAGCCCUUUUGUUGGGAAAGAAAAGCAGUCGGUUAAUACCCGAUUGUUCUGACGGUACCCAAAGAAUAAGCACCGGCUAACUUCGUGCCAGCAGCAGCCGCAG
rnacentral:rRNA from 1 species